CUCGUGCAGGCAGCGCGUACACGGAAACCUUGGCAACGGCGUCUGGCAGAGGAGGGCAGGAGCAGCCCCUGGUGUUGGACAUACAGAUGUUCUUAUCAAAGAUGCAUCCGUCUUCAGGGCAGAGAUGUAUUAACCCAGAGAAGACCCUCUGUGUAAAAUUGAUCUGCUGGGCCCCAUAAGCUUCUCUUCACAUGAGGCACUUUUAAUGAAAG